GGCUAUGGUUCUUUUUUUUUUCUGUGUUACUUGCUGGUUUAGCAUCUCUUCUAUUCUAUUCUAUUCUCUUUAUCCCCAUCUUUCUGGUCAACAGUCAGAAUGACCUCAUCCUGGGGCUUUGUUCAUGAGUCAGCAACUGAUUCUUCCCACUCCAGUUUGGCUAUUUCUAGAUGCUCUGAGACUGCUCCCAUGGCCUCCAGGGUUGCUGUGGGCCCAUCCACCCGUGAGUUGCAGAGCUCACUGGAUACUUUUCAGUGGGUUUCACAAACACCACUCAGGGGCCAUGUUUCAAGGCUGCUUGCUUUAUGCCCCUGCGGUUCAUCAUGUUCUUUAUUAUCCUCCUUUUCUUCCAAUCUUCUCUGGGGAUUAGUAUGAGGAGAAAAUCCCUGAUUGGCCAUGUGAGGUCUGCACAGUUCCCAGUAGAUCCUCGCAUCACUGUCCUCCCCUACAGUCCAACAGAUUGGAUAGAUUCCUUCACAUUUCUGGGUGUUUUCCUUGGUUUCAAGCAGAAAAAUUGGCACCACUAUUAAGGAGUUCCCUGACCAGACUUCAUAUAAAUGUGAAAGUAAUUUCUUCCUAAAUCAUGACUCUACCCUGCACAGCCCACCCCAGGACUGUGCUAUGCUAUAAGGUCCCUGAAGGAGGAAAGGAAGGAUUUCCACUCAUCCCAAUAUGGAAUAUGGAAAUCUGGGGGCUGAUAAUACUUCAGAGUAUGUUGUGGGACAGUAAGCUACAUCCCUGAUCUCUGCACAAGAGAUGUCAGUAGCAUCUCACCUUCCACUUGUGACAACCAGAGAUUUCUACAUAGAUUGCCAAGUGUCUCCAGGGGUUCAAAAUUAUCCUGAUAGGGAACCAUUGCCAGAGGCACAUUCCUGUCUUUAUCUUGACCAUGUUCUUUAACAUUGGUUCUGUCAUGGUGUCCUGGUACCUUCUCCUGAAGAUCUGUUCUCUCAUUCUGUAUUGAAGAGUUCCCAGGAAGCAUCUUGCUUGUUUAUUCAUGUUCCCAAUAUUCAGGCCUCAGUGUCCUAAUUUAACUGUAAGGCUGACCCAGUGAGCACUUAUUCUUCCUCUUGUAAUAUUUCGCAUAUGCUCUCCUGAUGUUUAUGUACUUGUGGGCCUCUGGCCACUGGAAUUUUUUUUUUAGACAUCAUUUAAGAUUUCACAGAAGUCAUUGAGAUGCAUGUGGAUGCCACCAAGCAAACUUAAUUUGGUUCAAAACAUCCACAGAGGUUUUGCAUAUCAUGUAUCUGCUUUUUUCCCCAUUUUGUCUCAUUUUGGUUUUUAAGCAAACAUUUAGUGUUGAUUUUGGGCAGGUGUGUGGCAGCCCUUCCUUUGAAACACAAGCACCUUGUCUGCCAUCAGAAUGAAGUGUUCUGUGGCUUUCAUUUCCUGUAUAGAUUUAUCCAUUUCCCACUGUAGAACACAGAGGGUAGAGGGGUUGCCUGUGGCCUGAAUCUCUUUGUCUGUGUGUUGGCUCAUUUGCAUGGUACUUCUUGAUUCUAAGGAGAGGCCCUGUUUUGUAGUAGGAUGUUGUUUGGUUCUCUUAAGAAGCCUGGCACACACUCUCUAUAGGAACUUCAUGGCCAUGGACCGGUUAGAGCCAGAGAAUAGGCCUAACAGUUCAUGAGAGCAUUUUAGUGAUUUCCUCAUUUAGUCUAUUCAUUCCAUAAAUAGUAAGUCAUCAUAUUUCUGUGGAUAUUGGUGAUGGAGGAGUGAGCAAAGCAAAAACACAUCUUGCCACCCUGAUGUUUCAUUGUACUGUAAUUAAAUAAGUACAUAAAAAUAUCAAGUCAUUUGGUGAUGUGUGUUAUGGAGAAAAGGGAUAUAUAAAAAAGAAUGAUGAAUGAUGGGGACAGGUGCAAGGUCAGAUCUCAAUAAGAAUAUAAAAUUCAACAAACCUCAUAUAAGUUGAAAAGAGCUUAGAGGAUGGUGAAGGAUUAAUGACCCAUGGGACAGACAAGGGAAGAGCAAUCUAAGAAAUGGGAACAGUAAAUCACUGCAAAAGUCCUGGGAUAGAAACAUGGGCCAGGAAAGACAGGGUGGCUGGAAUGCAGCAAACAAGGGGCCCAGAUGUGGUACCAGAGUUCAAAGCUAUGGUGUGUAUGGCAGGUGUGCUAUGUAUGUGAAAUGAGAAUCCCUGUGGUGGCUUUAAGGAGAGGAGUGACAUGAUCUAACUUAUACAUUUAAUGAAUAACUCUGGCUAUGUUUGAAAAUAAAUGUUGCUGGUAAGAACAAGGGGAUAAAAAAUAGUAAAGUGUCAAAUGACGUAUUCCAAGCUGGAAAUGAUAGUGCGUUGGACCAGGUCGCCUGGCUGCUUUAUGAUGAAUGAUCUAAGUGAAUAAACUUGGAGAAAUAAUCAAAAAGGUUGUUUACAAAUUUAAUGGAGGAUUAGAUAGGAAUAUGAGGAUGAAAAUUUACUGAAGGGUUUUAAUGUGUUUCCCUAAUUAAUGAUGGGGGUCCAUGUGCUGACAUGGGAAGUCUUAGAAGAUUUAGUUUUAGGGAGAAGAGAAUGUAAAGAUGCCAAACCUAAGCUAGCUAAAUAUUGUUUAGAAAACCAUCUUGCUUUCUUCUUUUUCUAAAAUGUCACACUAAUAUCAGUAGACUAUAUAUAUAUUUCUACUGGACUUACAUGUAUGUAUAAUAUGUAUACAUGUAUGUAUGUAUCUUUCAGGUAGCUAGUGCUAUUAUUUAGAAAGAUUUUUCAGAAAAAAUUAGAGGCAAUAUGAUCUAUUAUUUUCUCUUAUUUAUUCAAUUUAACCCUCAGUGUUAUAUCAGAUUUAAAAUGAAUUAAGUAGCAUCGUUCUUAGAUUUUUUCCUCUCUUUUAAGUCUAUACACACACACACUGACACAUACACACACACAUUUACAGUUUAUAUCCUCUGAUGUUAAUUUCUUAUAAAACUUUUAAAAGCAUUUGGAUCUGACCUUUUACU
rnacentral:lncRNA from 1 species